UUCCACUAUACUGUACGUGCUGUCGAGCGGAACGAUGGUAGCUUGCUACCAGGCGUCGAGCGGCGGACGGGUGAGUAAUGCUUAGGAAUCUGCCCAGUAGUGGGGGAUAGCCCGGGGAAACCCGGAUUAAUACCGCAUACGCCCUUUUGGGGAAAGCAGGGGAUCUUCGGACCUUGCGCUAUUGGAUGAGCCUAAGUCGGAUUAGCUAGUUGGUGGGGUAAAGGCUCACCAAGGCGACGAUCCGUAGCUGGUCUGAGAGGAUGAUCAGCCACAUCGGGACUGAGACACGGCCCGAACUCCUACGGGAGGCAGCAGUGGGGAAUAUUGGACAAUGGGGGCAACCCUGAUCCAGCCAUGCCGCGUGUGUGAAGAAGGCUUUCGGGUUGUAAAGCACUUUCAGUGAGGAGGAAGGCCUUAAGAUUAAUACUCUUAAGGAUUGACGUCACUCACAGAAGAAGCACCGGCUAACUCCGUGCCAGCAGCCGCGGUAAUACGGAGGGUGCAAGCGUUAAUCGGAAUUACUGGGCGUAAAGCGCGCGUAGGUGGUUGAGUAAGCGAGAUGUGAAAGCCCCGGGCUUAACCUGGGAACGGCAUUUCGAACUGCUCGACUAGAGUGUGGUAGAGGGUAGUGGAAUUUUCC
rnacentral:rRNA from 1 species